CAAAACACAUGACUAGAUCGCUAGCUUUAGCAUUAGGUCUGCCUUUGUGGAAGACCCUGGUCAUGAGCAAUGAGUGGACAGGCAGAUGUUCGAAAUGAAUUCAAUCGCACAAGCUGGAGCAGGCAAGGCCUGGCCGAUAUUAACGCCGACCAGAGAAGACAUAACACUGGACUCUUCCCUUCUCACAACCUGAACCACAAGAAAAGGGUGUUGUUUUUUGCCAGGGUAAACUCUGGCAACCG